GACGAACGCUGGCGGCGUGCUUAACACAUGCAAGUCGAACGAAGAGCGAUGGAAGCUUGCUUCUAUCAAUCUUAGUGGCGAACGGGUGAGUAACGCGUAAUCAACCUGCCCUUCAGAGGGGGACAACAGUUGGAAACGACUGCUAAUACCGCAUACGAUCCAAUCUCGGCAUCGAGACUGGAUGAAAGGUGGCCUCUAUUUAUAAGCUAUCACUGAAGGAGGGGAUUGCGUCUGAUUAGCUAGUUGGAGGGGUAACGGCCCACCAAGGCGAUGAUCAGCAGCCGGUCUGAGAGGAUGAACGGCCACAUUGGGACUGAGACACGGCCCAGACUCCUACGGGAGGCAGCAGUGGGGAAUCUUCCGCAAUGGACGAAAGUCUGACGGAGCAACGCCGCGUGAGUGAUGACGGCCUUCGGGUUGUAAAGCUCUGUUAAUCGGGACGAAUGGUUCUUGUGCGAAUAGUGCGAGGAUUUGACGGUACCGGAA
rnacentral:rRNA from 1 species